CCCGGGGUCUCAGGUAAGGCUUGGCGAUGCAGGUAAGAUUUCCCUCAGCGGAGAUGAGGCUCAUCGCCUGCAGGUAAAAACCCCUCCUCUCCCUAGGGGACCCUCUUCCUUUGGGGAGGCCUUCAGCCUCCCAGGUGAGAGACCCUUUCCCGAAGCGAACUCCAUGCACCCCACAUUUGCCCUAUCACUAGUCCAAAUAGGAUCCCAAGGACCAGUCGGUUUCUUAUCUCCCCGCCACCAAGCUCCCUCAAAACUGGAAAACUGGCAUCCCAUCCACUCUGAAGCCCCUUCUUCCCGUUUCAGAUGCCAGCUCAGCAGGGGUGAGGCCAGAAGCAGGUGGGUGACUCACCUAGAGCUCCUCCUAGCCUCAGUUUACCCGCUGAUGCAACCUGAGGCCUCCUCAGCACUGGGCUCCCUCUGCUCCCCGUGGGCCGCUCCCCGCGUGGGGCCACUGCCCUUGGCCCCCGCCAUGGUGCGGAUUUCAAAGCCCAAGACGUUUCAGGCCUACUUGGAUGAUUGUCACCGGAGGUACAGCUGUGCCCACUGCCGUGCUCACCUGGCCAACCACGACGACCUCAUCUCCAAGUCCUUCCAGGGCAGUCAGGGGCGUGCCUACCUCUUCAACUCUGUGUGAGUAUCCAUCUCCUUCCUUUCUUUUCCUGACCUCUGUUGUGACCUGUGACCCCUGACAUCAUGUCGAUAUUCCCAGAGUCCCCCUCGUUUCAGACAGGAAGCCAUGAUCAGGCUCCUCUUAGAGGCUAAGACCAGACACUGAACAUGCUAGCUAGAGGAGGGGCUCUGGGCUGCUGAGACCCUCCCUGGGACUACCCUUUGUCCCCACAGGGUGAAUGUGGGUUGUGGGCCAGCAGAAGAGCGGGUGCUGCUGACAGGUCUUCAUGCUGUCGCUGACAUCCACUGCGAGAACUGCAAGACCACUCUGGGCUGGAAAUAUGAGCAAGCCUUUGAGAGCAGCCAGAAAUACAAGGAGGGGAAGUACAUCAUUGAACUCAACCACAUGAUC